rnacentral:lncRNA from 1 species
CUGCAGCGAGAUUGAAUGCUGGUAUGCUAAUUAAUUGUUGAGCUAAUUUUUUGAAUAUAAUAAAAAUUAUAUCACCUGUAUUAUCCUUAACUAUUGUGCUUAAUUAGUUCUUUAAAAAUUUAAAUAGCAAAAAAAAAAUAUAUUUAUUUAGAUAGAAAAUAUUAAAACUGUAUUUUUUUUAAAUUAUUAAUAUGAUAGAAAAGAUUUUAUUGUUAUAUCAUGGUA